GGACUGGAAAUAUCUGGUUGAUGUUGCUUGGAAAGACGAAUCUCACUUGAAACGCUCUACGGCUGGUAAAGCAAAUAGGGGUAUGCUCCCCUAUAAUCAUACAAGUGGAUCGCGAUCAUUUCCUAUAGCAAUGUCGCUUAUGGCAAAUGAGGAUGGAGAUAUAGAUUUCCCUGAAUUUUAUAAGAAAGCACACAAGUCCAAGAAGACGGGAGAUUGGAU